rnacentral:rRNA from 1 species
UACGAAGGGGGCUAGCGUUGUUCGGAAUUACUGGGCGUAAAGGGCGCGUAGGCGGUGUGUCAAGUCAGGCGUGAAAGCCCCGGGCUCAACCUGGGAACCGCGCUUGAGACUGGCACGCUCGAGUCCGGGAGAGGAUGGUGGAAUUCCCGGUGUAGUGGUGAAAUGCGUAGAUAUCGGGAGGAACACCAGUGGCGAAGGCGACUUCUUGGCCUGUUCUUGACGCUGAGGCGCGAAAGCUGGGGGAGCAAACGGG